rnacentral:rRNA from 1 species
GACGAACGCUGGCGGCGUGCUUAACACAUGCAAGUCGAACGGAAAGGCCCUGCUUGCAGGGUGCUCGAGUGGCGAACGGGUGAGUAACACGUGGGUGAUCUGCCCCUUAUUUUGGGAUAAGCCUGGGAAACUGGGUCUAAUACUGGAUAGGACCAUGCUGUAGGUGGUGUGGUGGAAAGAUUAGUUUCGGUAAGGGAUGAGCUCGCGGCCUAUCAGCUUGUUGGUGGGGUAAUGGCCUACCAAGGCGUCGACGGGUAGCCGGCCUGAGAGGGUGGACGGCCACAUUGGGACUGAGAUACGGCCCAGACUCCUACGGGAGGCAGCAGUGGGGAAUAUUGCACAAUGGGCGCAAGCCUGAUGCGGCGACGCCGCGUGGGGGAUGACGGCCUCCGGGUUGUAAACUCCUUUCAGCCAUGACGAAGCCCUUGUGGUGACGGUAGUGGUAGAAGAAGCACCGGCUAACUACGUG